ACCUGGGUGGCUCAGUGGGUUAAGCAUCUGACUUCGGCUCAGGUCAUGAUCUCACGGUUCGUGGGUUCGAGCCCCGCAUCGGGCU
rnacentral:tRNA from 1 species